UACGUAGGGUGCAAGCGUUGUCCGGAAUUAUUGGGCGUAAAGAGCUCGUAGGCGGUCUGUCGCGUCGGCUGUGAAAACCCGGAGCUCAACUCCGGGCCUGCAGUCGAUACGGGCAAACUGGAGUGUUGCAGGGGAGACUGGAAUUCCUGGUGUAGCGGUGAAAUGCGCAGAUAUCAGGAGGAACACCGGUGGCGAAGGCGGCGUUCUGGACUGCAACUGACACUGAGGAACGAAAGCCAGGGGAGCAAACGGG
rnacentral:rRNA from 1 species